rnacentral:rRNA from 1 species
UAAGAGGUCCCGCCUGCCCAGUGACUCAUGUUCAACGGCCGCGGUAUCCUAACCGUGCGAAGGUAGCGUAAUCACUUGUUCUUUAAAUGGGGACUAGUAUGAAUGGCACCACGAGGGUUAUACUGUCUCCCUUUUUUAAUCAGUGAAACUAACCCCCCCGUGAAGAAGCGGGGAUAUAAAUAUAAGACGAGAAGACCCUAUGGAGCUUUAAAUUUCAAUUCAAAUGCUAUCUAACCCUAAAAGUUUCAACUUUUUUCCCCCCAAGCUUAGCAUAAUGAAAUAGAAUUUUAGGUUGGGGUGACCGCGGAGCACAAAACAACCUCCACAUUGAACUAGGCCUAUCACCUUGAGCAAUGAACUACAAUCCUAUGCACAAAAAAAUUUACAUUCAUUGACCCA